rnacentral:rRNA from 1 species
AUUGAACGCUGGCGGCAGGCCUAACACAUGCAAGUCGAGCGAGCGGCGGACGGGUGAGUAAUGUAUGGGGACCUGCCCGACAGAGGGGGAUAACUACUGGAAACGGUAGCUAAUACCGCAUACUAUUCGAGUGGCCGAUAUCGGAUUAGCUAGUUGGUGGGGUAAAGGCUCACCAAGGCAACGAUCCGUAGCUGGUUUGCGAGGACGACCAGCCACACUGGGACUGAGACACGGCCCAGACUCCUACGGGAGGCAGCAGUGGGGAAUUUUGGGCAAUGGACGAAACCCUGAUCCAGCCACCCCGCGUGUGUGAGAAGGCUUUCGGGUUGUAAAGUACUUUUGGUAGAGAAGCGGUAUCUGCAGAAUAAGCACCGGCUAACUACGUGCCAGCAGCCGCGGUAAUAC